ensembl:lncRNA
AGGGACUGCUAGACAUUGCUGGUGCAUGUACUUAAGACGCUGGUUUUGUUUAUUACAAUAUACCAGAAAAACAUCACAGCUGAGUCUGGACAGGACGUCACUCUGACAUGUCGAGCUCCAAACAACGACAUUAGAGCUCUAGAGUGGAGCAGAGCUGACCUGGGAGAUGAAUAUGUGCUUUUGUUCAAGGAUAAGCGAUUUGAAACAGAUAACCAGCAUCCAUCUUUUAAGAACCGGGUGGAUCUGCAGGACAGACAGAUGAAGGAUGGAGACGUGUCUUUGAUUCUGAAGGAUGUGACGACUAAUGACACUGGACCAUACGAGUGUCAUGUUGUCCAGCGAGUGAGAGGACCUAUGACUCUAAUCAACAGCACCUACCUUCAUGUUGUUCCUCCAGGUCAGACAGGAGGAGACACAGAGGAUGGAUCUGUUGGACUGAAAGUUGGUUUAUCAGUUAUUGCUGUGCUACUUGUUGCAGCUGUUUUUUUUUUGUUUGUUUGUUUUUUUAUCUAUAGAAAACAGUCUCAAGGUUCAAAUGAGUAUCCUGCUGAUCAACCGAGCUAACAACCUCUUCAGACCUAAAAUCAUCAAUCCUGAACAUCCAGCAGAUGUCUAUAGACGUCAAACAUUCAGAGUUUGAUGCGAU